UGUAGAUCAUCCAUACAAAGAACGGAUGCUGAUUAGGCUCCUCAAGAGUACUAGCUCGCAAGGAUCUUUGAAGGCUGAUCUUCUUCUCCUUUUUUUGAUCUUUUAGACACUCUAGAGAGAGAGAAGAAUUAAUGAAGGAAGAGAAGAGAGGAGAGAGAUAUGUAGAAGAAAUAAUUUUCAACUGGAUCUCAUAUGGGGUGUCCAACUAUUGGACCCCCUUUCUAUAGAUGGGUGUUAGGGUUUAAGGUCAAGAGGAGGCACAAAACAUCUCCACGCCACAUCCAUAUGGGGCAUCCCAAUUUUUACAAGAUUAUGUGAUGGCAUGAGAAAGAAAUCAGAUCUUUC
rnacentral:lncRNA from 1 species